UUAUCGCCACGUUAAAACACCGGUUCUCUUAUGAUUGCUGUAGUUAAGCAACGACAAGUUAGGAUAGUACUUAGUUGGGUGACCGCUUGGGCAUACCAGGUCCUGUAAG